rnacentral:rRNA from 1 species
CAAUAGCGUAUAUUAAAGUUGUUGCAGUUAAAAAGCUCGUAGUUGGAUUUCUGGUGGGAGCGAUCGGUCUGGCGCCUAGCGCGAGUACUUGCAUCGUCUCCGGCCAUCCUUGGGGAGAGUCUGUCUGGCAUUAAGUUGUCGGGCAGAGGAUCCUCAUCGUUUACUGUGAAAAAAUUAGAGUGUUCAAAGCAGGCUUAUGCCGUUGAAUAUAUUAGCAUGGAAUAAUAAGAUAGGACUUUGGUACUAUUUUGUUGGUUUGCGCACCAAAGUAAUGAUUAAUAGGGACAGUUGGGGGUAUUCGUAUUCCGUUGUCAGAGGUGAAAUUCUUGGAUUUACGGAAGACGAACUACUGCGAAAGCAUUUACCAAGGAUGUUUUCAUUAA